GUCUUUAUAGUGAAAUCAUCACAUUACCUUUUCGAGGUGAAGUUGAAUUGCAAAUUCUAAAGAUA
rnacentral:tRNA from 1 species